CCUACGGGAGGCAGCAGUGAGGAAUAUUGGUCAAUGGACGAAAGUCUGAACCAGCCAUGCCGCGUGCAGGAUGACGGCCCUAUGGGUUGUAAACUGCUUUUAUACAGGAAUAAACCACCGAACGUGUUCGGUGCUGAAGGUACUGUAAGAAUAAGGAUCGGCUAACUCCGUGCCAGCAGCCGCGGUAAUACGGAGGAUCCAAGCGUUAUCCGGAUUCAUUGGGUUUAAAGGGUCCGCAGGCGGGGUAUUAAGUCAGUGGUGAAAGCCGGCAGCUUAACUGUCGAAUUGCCAUUGAUACUGGUACUCUUGAGUGUAGUUGAAGUAGGCGGAAUAAGUCAUGUAGCGGUGAAAUGCAUAGAUAUGACUUAGAACACCGAUUGCGAAGGCAGCUUACUAAGCUACUACUGACGCUCAUGGACGAAAGCGUGGGGAGCGAACAGGAUUAGAUACCCUGGUAGUCCACGCCGUAAACGAUGAUCACUCGCUGUUGGCGAUAUACUGUCAGCGGCCAAGCGAAAGUAUUAAGUGAUGCACCUGGGGAGUACGCCGGCAACGGUGAAACUUAAAGGAAUUGACGGA
rnacentral:rRNA from 1 species